UACGGAGGGGGCUAGCGUUGUUCGGAAUUACUGGGCGUAAAGCGCGCGUAGGCGGACCUGCAAGUCGGGGGUGAAAGCCCGAGGCUCAACCUCGGAACUGCCUUCGAUACUGCGGGUCUCGAGUUCGGGAGAGGUGAGUGGAACUGCGAGUGUAGAGGUGAAAUUCGUAGAUAUCGGGAGGAACACCGGGUGGCGAAGGCGGGUCUCUGGG
rnacentral:rRNA from 1 species